rnacentral:rRNA from 1 species
GACGAACCGUGCGAACGUUAUUCGGAAUCACUGGGCUUAAAGCGCGUGUAGGCGGGUCGCCACCUCUGGCGAUGAAAUCCCCCGGCUCAACCGGGGAACGGGCACCGAUACGAGCGGCCUGGAGGGGAGUAGGGGGACCUGGAACUUCCGGUGGAGCGGUGAAAUGCGUUGAGAUCGGAAGGAACGCCCGUGGCGAAAGCGAGGUCCUGGGCUCCUGCUGACGCUGAGACGCGAAAGCCAGGGGAGCGAACGGG